UAGAGUUUGAUCAUGGCUCAGGACGAACGCUGGCUGCGUGCUUAACACAUGCAAGUCGAACGCUGAAGCUCUGGUGCUUGCACCGGGGUGGAUGAGUGGCGAACGGGUGAGUAACACGUGAGUAACCUGCCCCUGACUUCGGGAUAAGCCCGGGAAACUGGGUCUAAUACCGAAUAUGACCGUUCCUCGCAUGAGGGAUGGUGGAAAGUUUUUUCGGUUGGGGAUGGGCUCGCGGCCUAUCAGCUAGAUGGUGGGGUAAUGGCCCACCAUGGCGACGACGGGUAGCCGGCCUGAGAGGGCGACCGGCCACACUGGGACUGAGACACGGCCCAGACUCCUACGGGAGGCAGCAGUGGGGAAUAUUGCACAAUGGGGGAAACCCUGAUGCAGCGACGCAGCGUGCGGGAUGACGGCCUUCGGGUUGUAAACCGCUUUCAGCAGGGAAGAAGCCAGCUUUGGUGGUGACGGUACCUGCAGGAGAAGUACCGGCUAACUACGUGCCAGCAGCCGCGGUAAUACGUAGGGUACGAGCGUUGUCCGGAAUUAUUGGGCGUAAAGAGCUCGUAGGUGGUUGGUCACGUCUGCUGUGGAAACGCAACGCUUAACGUUGCGCGUGCAGUGGGUACGGGCUGACUAGAGUGCAGUAGGGGAGUCUGGAAUUCCUGGUGUAGCGGUGAAACGCGCAGAUAUCAGGAGGAACACCGGUGGCGAAGGCGGGACUCUGGGCUGUAACUGACACUGAGGAGCGAAAGCAUGGGGAGCGAACAGGAUUAGAUACCCUGGUAGUCCAUGCCGUAAACGUUGGGCACUAGGUGUGGGGGACAUUCCACGUUCUCCGCGCCGUAGCUAACGCAUUAAGUGCCCCGCCUGGGGAGUACGGUCGCAAGGCUAAAACUCAAAGGAAUUGACGGGGGCCCGCACAAGCGGCGGAG
rnacentral:rRNA from 1 species